UGUAAAAACUGGGUCAGUUUUUUGGACAAUGUGCUGCUGCUUAUCCUAUUUCUAUAUGGUCUCUGCUUGGGGUGGUUAUGUAUUUAUCAUCAAUCUUAUUCCACUGCAUGUAUUUGUGUUGUUACUGAUGCAGAGAUACAGCAAAAGAGUCUACAUAGCAUAUAGCACUUUCUACAUUGUGGGUUUAAUAUUAUCCAUGCAGAUACCUUUUGUGGGAUUCCAGCCAAUCAGAACAAGUGAACACAUGGCAGCUGCAGGUGUCUUUGCAUUGCUGCAAGCUUAUGCUUUCUUGCAGUAUCUGAGAGACCGAUUAACAAAACAAGAGUUCCAGACCCUUUUCUUUUUGGGUGUAUCACUAGCUGCAGGUGCUGUGUUCCUUAGUGUCAUCUAUUUGACUUAUACAGGUUACAUUGCACCAUGGAGUGGCAGAUUUUAUUCACUGUGGGAUACUGGGUAUGCAAAAAUACACAUUCCAAUUAUUGCAUCAGUGUCUGAGCAUCAACCUACGACUUGGGUGUCUUUCUUCUUUGAUCUACAUAUUCUUGUAUGUACCUUCCCAGCAGGCCUUUGGUUCUGUAUCAAAAAUAUCAACGAUGAAAGAGUAUUUGGUAAGAGAGGUUUUUAAUGAAUACUUUGAUAUGGAAUAGUUUUCUUUUUGAGAUUAUUUACUUUAAAUUUUUGUUUUUCUAUGUUUGACUCUAUAUAUUCAAGAUAAAUUUUCUCCCUUAUUUUGCAUAGGUGCUUAACCAAGAAAAAUUCAUUGAGAGGCCGGGCAUGGUGGCACACGCCUGUAAUCCCAGCACUUUGGGAGGCCGAGGCGGGUGGAUCACCUGAGGUCAGGAGUUCGAGACCAGCCUGGCCAACAUGGUGAAACCUUGUCUCUACUAAAAAUACAAAAAUUAGCCGAACAUGGUGGUGCAUGCCUGUAAUCCCAGCUACUCAGGAGGCUGAGGCAGGAGAAUUGCUUGAACCUGGGAGGCGGAGGUUGCAGUGAGUGAAGAUCAAGCCACUGCACUCCACCCUGGGAAUCAGAGCAAGACUCUGUCUCAAAAAAAAAGAAAAAGAA
rnacentral:sRNA from 1 species